UGGGGAAUAUUGCACAAUGGAGGGAACUCUGAUGCAGCGACGCCGCGUGAGUGAUGAAGGAAUUCGUUUCGUAAAACUCUGUUCUAUUGGAAGAAAAGGACUGUACCAUAGGAGAAAGCUCCGGCUAAAUACGUGCCAGCAGCCGCGGUAAUACGUAUGGAGCGAGCGUUGUCCGGGAUUAUUGGGCGUAAAGGGUGCGCAGGCGGCUUUACAAGUUGGAUGUGAAAUAUUGUGGCUCAACCACAAACGUGCAUCCACAACUGCAAAGCUUGAGUUAAGGAGAGGUAAGUGGAAUUCCUGGUAUAGCGGUGGAAUGCGUAGAUAUCAGGAGGAAUACCGGUGGCGAAGGCGACUUACUGGACUUAAACUGACGCUCAGGCACGAAAGCGUGGGGAGCAAACAGG
rnacentral:rRNA from 1 species